ACCUAAUAGAUACCCUGGUAGUCCACGCCCUAAACGAUGCGAACUGGAUGUUGGGUACAUUACGGUACUCAGUGUCGAAAGCUAAACGCGUUAAGUUCGCCGCCUGGGGAGUACGGUCGCAAGACUGAAACUCAAAGGAAUUGACGGGGGCCCGGCCACAAGCGGUGGAGUAUGUGGUUUAAUUCGAUGCAACGCGAAGAACCUUACCCUGGCCUUGACAUCUGUCGAAUCCUGCAGAGAUGCGGGAGUGCCGCAAGGAACGACAAGACAGGUGCUGCAUGGCUGUCGUCAGCUCGUGUCGUGAGAUGUUGGGUUUAAGUUCCCGCAACGAGCGCAACCCUUGUCCCUAGUUGCCAGCACAUCAUGGUGGGAACUCUAGGGAGACUGCCGGUGAC
rnacentral:rRNA from 1 species